rnacentral:rRNA from 1 species
AGGGAUUGCCCUAGUAACGGCGAGUGAAGCGGCAACAGCUCAAAUUUGAAAUCUGGCUCUUUCAGAGUCCGAGUUGUAAUUUGCAGAGGGCGCUUUGGCGUUGGCAGCGGUCCAAGUUCCUUGGAACAGGACGUCACAGAGGGUGAGAAUCCCGUACGUGGUCGCUGGCCUUCGCCGUGUAAAGCCCCUUCGACGAGUCGAGUUGUUUGGGAAUGCAGCUCUAAAUGGGAGGUAAAUUUCUUCUAAAGCUAAAUACUGGCCAGAGACCGAUAGCGCACAAGUAGAGUGAUCGAAAGAUGAAAAGCACUUUGGAAAGAGAGUCAAAUAGCACGUGAAAUUGUUGAAAGGGAAGCGCUUGCAGCCAGACUUGCCUGUAGUUGCUCAUCCGGGCUUUUGCCCGGUGCACUCUUCUGUAGGCAGGCCAGCAUCAGUUUGGACGGUUGGAUAAAGGACUCUGUCACGUACCUCCUUUCGGGGAGGCCUUAUAGGGGAGUCGUCAUGCAACCAGUCUGGACUGAGGUCCGCGCAUCUGCUAGGAUGCUG